GUGCUUGCUCGGUGGCACAUGUACCAAAACUGGAAAGAUAUAGAGAAGUUCAGCAUGGCCCCUGCGCAAGGAUGACACUCUAAUUUGUGACGUGUUCCGUAUUUUU
rnacentral:snRNA from 1 species